rnacentral:rRNA from 2 species
CGAGCCGGCGAACGGGUGAGUAACACGUGGGUGAUCUGCCCUGCACUUCGGGAUAAGCCUGGGAAACUGGGUCUAAUACCGGAUAUGACCUCAUNUUGCAUGACUUGNGGUGGAAAGAUUUAUCGGUGCAGGAUGGGCCCGCGGCCUAUCAGCUUGUUGGUGGGGUAAUGGCCUACCAAGGCGACGACGGGUAGCCGACCUGAGAGGGUGACCGGCCACACUGGGACUGAGACACGGCCCAGACUCCUACGGGAGGCAGCAGUGGGGAAUAUUGCACAAUGGGCGAAAGCCUGAUGCAGCGACGCCGCGUGAGGGAUGACGGCCUUCGGGUUGUAAACCUCUUUCAGCAGGGACGAAGCGCAAGUGACGGUACCUGCAGAAGAAGCACCGGCUAACUACGUGCCAGCAGCCGCGGUAAUACGUAGGGUGCAAGCGUUGUCCGGAAUUACUGGGCGUAAAGAGUUCGUAGGCGGUUUGUCGCGUCGUUUGUGAAAACCAGCAGCUCAACUGCUGGCUUGCAGGCGAUACGGGCAGACUUGAGUACUGCAGGGGAGACUGGAAUUCCUGGUGUAGCGGUGAAAUGCGCAGAUAUCAGGAGGAACACCGGUGGCGAAGGCGGGUCUCUGGGCAGUAACUGACGCUGAGGAACGAAAGCGUGGGUAGCGAACAGGAUUAGAUACCCUGGUAGUCCACGCCGUAAACGGUGGGCGCUAGGUGUNGGGUUCCUUCCACGGAAUCCGUGCCGUAGCUAACGCAUUAAGCCGCCCCGCCUGGGGGAGUACGGCCNCAAGGCUAAAAACUCAAAGGAAUUUGACGGGGGCCCCGCACAAAGCGGCCGAGCAUGUGGNAUUAANUUCAAUCNAACNCNAAAAAACCUUANCCUGGGNUUUUGACAAUAUNCCCGGAAAANGCUU